CACUCGGAGAGGCAGUGCGCUGUGCUGGCCGAUGGAGGGUCUGUUCCCGGCGCUAACGGUCAGAGGCGCUCGGAGAGGCAGUGCGCUGUACUGGCCGAUGGAGGGUCUGUUCCCGGCGCUAACGGUCAGAGGCGCUCGGAGAGGCCGUGCGCUGUACUGGCCGAUGGAGGGUCUGUUCCCGGCACUAACGGUCAGAGGCGCUCGGAGAGGCAGUGUGGUGUACUGGGUCUAUUCCUGGUAUCAGUGUUGAGCUGGGUGAGGGCGAGUCACUGGACACCUCGAUUUCUCUUCCCCUCCUUUGUCCAUUUAGUUCAUAAGCUCAUCGGAGCAGAGCUUUGCUCUUACCAUGGUGUGUGUGGGGACAGGGUCUAGUCCCCAGGGCUGGUUCAGCUGGGAACCUCUAGACACAAACCCACUAAUGACUCCCAGCUCCACUGCUGAGACCACCUGCCUCCAAACCCCCUCGGUGCAGAACCUGCCUUUGAGGCACCCCCGAGCAGGACAUUUGUCUCCGUGCUCUGUCUGGGAGCGACAGGGUCUUGUGGAGGGGGGCGGGGGUUAGCUGCCACAGAAGGUGUUGGUUUUAUUUCAUUUAUUUAUUUCUGCCCUUUUAUAUCUUCCUUUGCAAGCCGGCCCAACCCAGCACACCAGACAAAGGGUCCUAAUAUGCCAUCAGAAAAACGUGUGCUUUCUUAAAUUGACACCUGCACUUUUACUUUGGAUAGUGACACCUGCGCUCAUAAUAACAUCGCCCCGACAAUUAGCAACACGAGAACUUUCAUCGCCAGGCCCAAAUUCCAGGCCCUGGAAUGGAGACAAUAAUUAGUGCUCAGUUUUCUAAUCAUAUUUAUGGAACCCCACAAAUUCUCAUUCUCAGCCUGCUCUUGGGAAUGUAGCAAUUUUCAGAUGCUAGCCGGAUGUGAAUGGGAAGGAACGAUCAAUAUGCUCUUUAGUGGAGUUCUGACCAACAGGAAAGAGGCUUGUAUCGGAAACAGCCUCUGCCAGAGAGACCAUCCCGUUCAGAAACCUGAUCUGCCCUGUGCAGCAUACAUGGAUUGCAACUCAAAAUAGGGCUUAUGUGAGACUAAAAGUGGGGCUUGCGCCCAUUGCUGGCCCUCUGCUCAGGAGUCAGCUUCACCCUGCAGAAAGUCAGCCUGGCUACGCCUCCAGGGAAAAGCAGAAAGAGGCCUUUCCCCAUUCCCGACUCAGCCCUCCAUAAGGAGCCCUUUGCUGGGUUUAGAUGCCCAAGCGGGAAAGCUCCCAUUCACUCCCUCCGCCUGGAGCACCACUGCCCCACACUCCAGAACCCUGUAUGUUUAAAGUUAGCACAUUUCAAUGUAACAGGACUAACAUAUGGACAACUGUCAAGUUACAACUCCUCAGGGUUCCGGGGAAAAUAGGUGAUUCCAGUUCUAAGUAGUAAAAUAUGCACAUUCAUUUAGAACAGGAGUAAAAGAAAAUAGUGGAGGUAGCCUCAGGGUAGCUCUACCUAAUGCGCUGACAAGUUAUGCAGAAUUCUUGGUUGAAAAUGUGCUUGCCGGUUCAUCCGUGUUUAUCCUAGCAACACGAGUUCUGAUAGACCGGCCCCUUCCCUCCUGCCAGCGUGACUGUCCUAGGCUGGCUACAUGCAUUAGCUGAGCCCAACCCAUUUGAUGAGGAAGUCACACUUUACUUGCUGCUACGUUUCCAUCCCAGUAUGGUUCUGGUGGAUUUAUAGGGGCUCAGGAUGGGUCCAAAGCCUGGCUGGAGCCUGAGAGUCCUGUCUCACGGCUGAUAAAGUGUUUCCUCUUCUGGGAGCACCAUCCGGACAGUGUUCUGGGGACGCCUGCCAUAGCCUCUCUGUGCUGCUGGCUGGGUCUAAGCUUAAAACCUCAGGCCCAGAAACAAUGAAAAGCAGAGAUGAAAUAAAGGAUCCUCCUCUACCUUCUUUGUGCCUAUUUCCUGACCCCGGGCUCACGGACAACGCCCUCCACAACACUACCUCUGCUCUGACACGCAACACCAUGAAAUGAGAAGGCAAAGCACUGCACCAUGGUGCUGCUGGAGCUGCUAAUGAACAACGCUUUGCACGGGUACAGGAGGCUUUCAUCUAGUGAGCGUCGAGAACAUUCCAGAGAACACUGCAGCCUCCCAGCACCCCUCAUGGAGCCACCCCUAUGAUACAAUAAACAGAAAAUGGUGGCACUACGAGGUCCCCAUUGGGCACCAAUCUUCUCUGCUGGCGAUUCCAGGCUCUCAUUGAGAUCAGUGGAAAUACUCCCAUUGACUUCCAUACGGAGGUCAAGAUGGUGCCAUAGCACAGUGUCUGUCUUCUUCAGUCCAAGGCCUUGCUGCUAAAAGGGCUAGGAACAGGCGUGCAUUAGUGCCAACGGUAAUACUGCUUUUGUUCAAUACAGGCGCCCAGGAACUGGUUAUGGGGACUGAGCUUUUGUCAGAUGGGUGGGUAAAAUCUGACCCGCGGCGGAGAGAUGCUGUGUCCCAUCACCAGCCGCUAAGCUCAGCCUUAGCUGCAACUAGCUUUCGUUAUUUUGUGGAAAAGUGGGACCUGGCUGGGCUCCGAAAGGAAUGAGCAGGCAAGCAGUGCUCCAGGGACUAUUUUUUGACAAUUGAGACACAUGCCUCCCUCAGCGUUCCUAUGACCAGUUAGGUGGGACCACAGACGUUAAUUGUAGAUGAGAAAUAACUGUUUGGAGGCCCCAUCUUGCAUUCCGUGUUCAGGCAAAAGCUUCCAUUCAAGUCGUUGAGACUUUUACCCAUGUAAAGAGUGCAGGAUAAGCGCCUUGCUGGGAGAUUUUACUAACUCAAUGUGCUAGGCCAGCACAACAGAGCAUAAUUAUGGACUGGGCCACAAUACGGACUCCAGAAAAGACAAGCAAAGCUCCUUAGUGGCAUUCACCUGUGGGUCGAGCGGGCCGUGAGCCGUGUCCAGAAAACUGACACCAACCAGCAACGUGUCUUCAGUCGGUAUUUGCUGUAGCCCAGCAAAUGAUCACGGAUGGUGAUGUCACCUAUCAUCUCUGCUGUUAGACUGUUACAAGGGAAGGAUCCCUGGCCAGCAAUAGGAACCCUUCGGACAAAUAAAUGCACAGGGCCCAGUUCUGCCCCCUUUACUCCCAUGAGUAGCACCUUACCCCACAGGUCGUCCCUCUGAGCUCAUGGGGAGUAGCAGAGCUGCCCUCUUGCGUUGCCCAGUUGGCUACGUGGUUCCUCGAUAGUGCAGAUCCAGACUUCCGGAGCGAAAUCCUCUGCCCAGCUGCACCCAUCCCAAGGGGCUCAGCAGAUCCCCGGCGACUGUAACAUCCACGUAAUGACUGACCCUCUGCCCUCCCCCGCCUCCGGCCACUGCCGCUCCACCGAACCCUCUGCAGGAGAGUAAACACUGAGCUGCACACAGGGCCGGGCGCAACCUGGCAAUCAGCUGCCCCCUCGCAAGGCGACGACCCUCCCAAACCUGCCCUUUCACCCACAAUACGCUCAGCAGAACCGCAGUGCGGGCCAGCCCCUCAGCCAGUCUGAAUCAGACUCCCCAGGCCUGUGAGAGGAGCCCGACAUGCACGAGAAGCGCUGGGUUUGCCCUCAAAAUGCUUUAGGUUGACAUCAGAAAACACAAAGGCCCCGUCUCUCCCUGUGCAAUGCUAGCUGGGGCCGAAGAUAGCGUCAUUUUACUUUUAUUGGAUUCAUUUCAU